GAUGAACGCUGGCGGCGUGCCUAAUACAUGCAAGUCGAGCGAACGGACGAGAAGCUUGCGUCUCUGAUGUUAGCGGCGGACGGGUGAGUAACACGUGGAUAACCUACCUAUAAGACUGGGAUAACUUCGGGAAACCGGAGCUAAUACCGGAUAAUAUUUUGAACCGCAUGGUUCAAAAGUGAAAGACGGUCUUGCUGUCACUUAUAGAUGGAUCCGCGCUGCAUUAGCUAGUUGGUAAGGUAACGGCUUACCAAGGCAACGAUGCAUAGCCGACCUGAGAGGGUGAUCGGCCACACUGGAACUGAGACACGGUCCAGACUCCUACGGGAGGCAGCAGUAGGGAAUCUUCCGCAAUGGGCGAAAGCCUGACGGAGCAACGCCGCGUGAGUGAUGAAGGUCUUCGGGUCGUAAAACUCUGUUAUUAGGGAAGAACAUAUGUGUAAGUAACUGUGCACAUCUUGACGGUACCUAAUCAGAAAGCAACGGCUAACUACGUG
rnacentral:rRNA from 1 species